UACAGAGGUCUCAAGCGUUGUUUCGGAUUCAUUGGGCGUAAAGGGUGCGUAGGUGGCGCCGUAAGUCGGGUGUGAAAUUUCGGAGCUUAACUCCGAAACUGCAUUCGAUACUGCGGUGCUUGAGGACUGGAGAGGAGACUGGAAAUUCAUGGUGUAGCAGUGAAAUGCGUAGAGAUCAUGGAGGAAGACCAGUGGCGAAGGCGGGUCUCUGGACAGUUCCUGACACUGAGGCACGAAGGCCAGGGGAGCAAAACGGG
rnacentral:rRNA from 1 species